AUGAAUUCAUUCCCUGAGUAGGUCACAUCUCUCAUAAUUUAAUCACUUCAGCUCAUAUGAGUUUAUUGGGGGAUAUCUCAAAUACAAACUGUAAUACACCUCCUUAAGUAUGGAUCUUUUCCUCAUGCUUGGAGUGUGGAUUCCACAUUGCUGAGUUCCACGUUGCUGAUGCUGAGUGCAAGAUGCUGAGUUCUACCACAGUUCCAUUAAGAAGGGUACUGUUCUGUAUUGGAUGAAAGGGACAGAGAUAAACCAGAUAGAUAAUACCUAAUUUAGGUAUUAUUUAUCUAAUUUCUUCAGAAUGGAUGCUGCAUAGGUUUGACAUGUCACUGAUGGAUUCUUCAGAUCUCUU